AGCUCAGCAGAGUUAAUGUCACCACAUCGUAGACUGAAGAUAUCGUAUCAUUCAUAAAUAGUUGAACACACACACAUACCCCUAGAGUAAUCUGUAACCGCCAGCUGUUAAAUUUGCUCAGAUAGAGUGACUAGGAUCCAUGUCAUUUCAUUUUGCUUUUGAAUUUUAGGGAGAUGUAGAUAUAUCCCCAAAUUUUACUUUUCCUCUUCCUUGUGGAAGGAAAACCUACAGCUGCUCUGGGGAAAAAGGAACACAUCUUCCCAAGCUAAACCUUCAGAGCUAGAACUGCGCCCCCCACCC
rnacentral:lncRNA from 1 species